ensembl:scaRNA
CCAGGAGACGAAAAAGUAGAGUCUGAUGAAGCAAGACUGUUGAUAAAUUCCUCCUAGAAAUACAGGGUUGGAGAGAGCAGCCCUUAUUAGAGAACACUGUGGAGCUGACUGUAGUACCCUAUAUCC